rnacentral:rRNA from 1 species
AUACGGAGGGUGCAAGCGUUAAUCGGAAUUACUGGGCGUAAAGCGUGCGUAGGUGGUUUGUUAAGUUAGAUGUGAAAGCCCCGGGCUCAACCUGGGAACUGCAUUUGAAACUGGCAUACUAGAGUAUAGGAGAGGAAAGUGGAAUUUCAGGUGUAGCGGUGAAAUGCGUAGAUAUCUGAAGGAACAUCAAUGGCGAAGGCAGCUUUCUGGACUAAUACUGACACUGAGGUACGAAAGCGUGGGUAGCAAACAGGAUUAGAAACCCCAGUAGUCC